AUACGGGGGGAGCAAGCGUUGUUCGGAAUUACUGGGCGUAAAGCGCACGUAGGCGGUUUAUCAAGUUAGGCGUGAAAGCCCUGGGCUCAACCCAGGAACUGCGUUUAAUACUGAUAAGCUAGAGACCGGGAGAGGGUGGCGGAAUUCCCAGUGUAGAGGUGAAAUUCGUAGAUAUUGGGAAGAACACCGGUUGCGAAGGCGGCCACCUGGACCGGAACUGACGCUGAGGUGCGAAAGCGUGGGGAGCAAACAGGAUUAGAAACCCCAGUAGUCC
rnacentral:rRNA from 1 species